rnacentral:rRNA from 1 species
UUAAGCGACUAAGCGUACACGGUGGAUGCCCUGGCAGUCAGAGGCGAUGAAGGACGUGCUAAUCUGCGAUAAGCGUCGGUAAGGUGAUAUGAACCGUUAUAACCGGCGAUUUCCGAAUGGGGAAACCCAGUGUGUUUCGACACACUAUCAUUAACUGAAUCCAUAGGUUAAUGAGGCGAACCGGGGGAACUGAAACAUCUAAGUACCCCGAGGAAAAGAAAUCAACCGAGAUUCCCCCAGUAGCGGCGAGCGAACGGGGAGCAGCCCAGAGCCUGAAUCAGUGUGUGUGUUAGUGGAAGCGUCUGGAAAGGCGCGCGAUACAGGGUGACAGCCCCGUACACAAAAAUGCACAUGCUGUGAGCUCGAUGAGUAGGGCGGGACACGUGGUAUCCUGUCUGAAUAUGGGGGGACCAUCCUCCAAGGCUAAAUACUCCUGACUGACCGAUAGUGAACCAGUACCGUGAGGGAAAGGCGAAAAGAACCCCGGCGAGGGGAGUGAAAAAGAACCUGAAACCGUGUACGUACAAGCAGUGGGAGCACGCUUAGGCGUGUGACUGCGUACCUUUUGUAUAAUGGGUCAGCGACUUAUAUUCUGUAGCAAGGUUAACCGAAUAGGGGAGCCGAAGGGAAACCGAGUCUUAACUGGGCGUUAAGUUGCAGGGUAUAGACCCGAAACCCGGUGAUCUAGCCAUGGGCAGGUUGAAGGUUGGGUAACACUAACUGGAGGACCGAACCGACUAAUGUUGAAAAAUUAGCGGAUGACUUGUGGCUGGGGGUGAAAGGCCAAUCAAACCGGGAGAUAGCUGGUUCUCCCCGAAAGCUAUUUAGGUAGCGCCUCGUGAAUUCAUCUCCGGGGGUAGAGCACUGUUUCGGCAAGGGGGUCAUCCCGACUUACCAACCCGAUGCAAACUGCGAAUACCGGAGAAUGUUAUCACGGGAGACACACGGCGGGUGCUAACGUCCGUCGUGAAGAGGGAAACAACCCAGACCGCCAGCUAAGGUCCCAAAGUCAUGGUUAAGUGGGAAACGAUGUGGGAAGGCCCAGACAGCCAGGAUGUUGGCUUAGAAGCAGCCAUCAUUUAAAGAAAGCGUAAUAGCUCACUGGUCGAGUCGGCCUGCGCGGAAGAUGUAACGGGGCUAAACCAUGCACCGAAGCUGCGGCAGCGACACUAUGUGUUGUUGGGUAGGGGAGCGUUCUGUAAGCCUGUGAAGGUGUGCUGUGAGGCAUGCUGGAGGUAUCAGAAGUGCGAAUGCUGACAUAAGUAACGAUAAAGCGGGUGAAAAGCCCGCUCGCCGGAAGACCAAGGGUUCCUGUCCAACGUUAAUCGGGGCAGGGUGAGUCGACCCCUAAGGCGAGGCCGAAAGGCGUAGUCGAUGGGAAACAGGUUAAUAUUCCUGUACUUGGUGUUACUGCGAAGGGGGGACGGAGAAGGCUAUGUUGGCCGGGCGACGGUUGUCCCGGUUUAAGCGUGUAGGCUGGUUUUCCAGGCAAAUCCGGAAAAUCAAGGCUGAGGCGUGAUGACGAGGCACUACGGUGCUGAAGCAACAAAUGCCCUGCUUCCAGGAAAAGCCUCUAAGCAUCAGGUAACAUCAAAUCGUACCCCAAACCGACACAGGUGGUCAGGUAGAGAAUACCAAGGCGCUUGAGAGAACUCGGGUGAAGGAACUAGGCAAAAUGGUGCCGUAACUUCGGGAGAAGGCACGCUGAUAUGUAGGUGAAGUCCCUCGCGGAUGGAGCUGAAAUCAGUCGAAGAUACCAGCUGGCUGCAACUGUUUAUUAAAAACACAGCACUGUGCAAACACGAAAGUGGACGUAUACGGUGUGACGCCUGCCCGGUGCCGGAAGGUUAAUUGAUGGGGUUAGCCGCAAGGCGAAGCUCUUGAUCGAAGCCCCGGUAAACGGCGGCCGUAACUAUAACGGUCCUAAGGUAGCGAAAUUCCUUGUCGGGUAAGUUCCGACCUGCACGAAUGGCGUAAUGAUGGCCAGGCUGUCUCCACCCGAGACUCAGUGAAAUUGAACUCGCUGUGAAGAUGCAGUGUACCCGCGGCAAGACGGAAAGACCCCGUGAACCUUUACUAUAGCUUGACACUGAACAUUGAGCCUUGAUGUGUAGGAUAGGUGGGAGGCUUUGAAGUGUGGACGCCAGUCUGCAUGGAGCCGACCUUGAAAUACCACCCUUUAAUGUUUGAUGUUCUAACGUUGACCCGUAAUCCGGGUUGCGGACAGUGUCUGGUGGGUAGUUUGACUGGGGCGGUCUCCUCCUAAAGAGUAACGGAGGAGCACGAAGGUUGGCUAAUCCUGGUCGGACAUCAGGAGGUUAGUGCAAUGGCAUAAGCCAGCUUGACUGCGAGCGUGACGGCGCGAGCAGGUGCGAAAGCAGGUCAUAGUGAUCCGGUGGUUCUGAAUGGAAGGGCCAUCGCUCAACGGAUAAAAGUACUCCGGGGAUAACAGGCUGAUACCGCCCAAGAGUUCAUAUCGACGGCGGUGUUUGGCACCUCGAUGUCGGCUCAUCACAUCCUGGGGCUGAAGUAGGUCCCAAGGGUAUGGCUGUUCGCCAUUUAAAGUGGUACGCGAGCUGGGUUUAGAACGUCGUGAGACAGUUCGGUCCCUAUCUGCCGUGGGCGCUGGAGAACUGAGGGGGCUGCUCCUAGUACGAGAGGACCGGAGUGGACGCAUCACUGGUGUUCGGGUUGUCAUGCCAAUGGCACUGCCCGGUAGCUAAAUGCGGAAGAGAUAAGUGCUGAAAGCAUCUAAGCACGAAACUUGCCCCGAGAUGAGUUCUCCCUGACUCCUUGAGAGUCCUGAAGGAACGUUGAAGACGACGACGUUGAUAGGCCGGGUGUGUAAGCGCAGCGAUGCGUUGAGCUAACCGGUACUAAUGAACCGUGAGGCUUAACCUU